rnacentral:rRNA from 1 species
CGUGUAGGCGGGAAUGUAAGUCGGGCGUGAAAUCCCUAGGCUCAACCUAGGAACUGCACUCGAAACUGCGUUUCUUGAGUGCCGGAGAGGAAAGCGGAAUUCCUGGUGUAGAGGUGAAAUUCGUAGAUAUCAGGAGGAACACCAGUGGCGAAGGCGGCUUUCUGGACGGUAACUGACGCUGAGACGCGAAAGCGUGGGGAGCAAACA